GGCCGGCAUGAGACACUGUUGAAACGUCCCCGUUCUCGCCCCCGGUACCUCUGCAGGCAGUGGUCGCAGACGCUGCCCAGCAGCUCCUUGGUGACGAUGUGGGCGAAGGGUUGGUCGCGGUAGAGCAGCUCUCCGGGCUGCAGCUGCCGGCGGGAGCGGAGGCCGCUGCCUUUGCCUCGGCUGCGGAACCGCUCCAGCGCCACCGACUCCAUCCUGCUUCGUGCGCCCCCGCGGAGAGAGCGCGAGGCCGCGCCUCUCGGCGCCACGUGACCUGGCGCUGCAGCCGCCGCCAUCUUAACUGAGGGUCAGGAACGCCCCAGCGGGCUCCCAUCUUCAGGACUUGGGCGAAGAGGACACACGGCGGAGGCAAGGCUCAUUUAUUCGUGGCUGUGCAGCCGAUUAUGGUAAUCCAGGAGUUCCUGGAGCACGGGGAGUGGAGGAAAAACAAGGAGAGCCACCAGGACCAGGAAGCUCUCACGACAGGGACAGUCUUGCCGGGAGGCGGAGCCACAGCAACCGCAGGGGAUUUAAUCAUCCCCCGGGAUCAUGAGCGAUCAGGAGUGUGGUGGCAGUUUGCGUGGCAGUUUGGGCAGGGAACAACCUCACGGCCCACUUAAAGAAACAGAAGUCAGAGAAGUGCCCCAGCUUGAACCUAGAAAGAUGGUGAGCACUCGCCUGAGGACUAAAGCCAAGGUUCAGGUGGACAAAACCCAGGUGAAGGUCGAUGCAUCAACCCAGACAGAGCCGGUUAGUAGAGAAGCUUCAAUCCAGGCGGAGUGCAGGGAGUGUUUAGGCUGCUUAGGGACCUAUGCUUCUGAGGCAACUAUAUGUCAUAGGUGCCCUCAAGUUCAGGAACUGCAGCACCUGGUGAAAGAGCUGCAGGCAACUCUGAGUAGACUCUGUAGUAUUAGAGGGGCAGAGGUGGAGAAAGACGGAGGCUUCCACAAUCAGGUGCAAGCCUCCAGUGAAUCUAACAAGCCUUGGACCCUAGUUACAAGAAAAAAAGAAAGACAAAGGCUCAUCUUCAAAGCCCUCCUUCCAGAGUGCCCACUACAAACAAGUAUGAGACACUGGUGACAAGGGACUUUGAGGAGCAAGUUCCAAAACGUGAAAACCCAUCAAACAACCCACCAAACAACCCACCAGCUGCUCCACCUACAAUAGGUAAUGGACACCGUAGGAAGAAGUGACGGGUGCUUGUUGUGGGUGACUUGCUGCUAAGGGGCACUGAGAGACCCACCUGUGGAGCAGAUAGGGAGUCAAGAGAAGUGUGCUACCUGCCACAAACCAAGAUUGGGGAUGUGGCCACGGCUUAUCAGGGAUGCAGGCUAUUACUCCUUACUUAUGUUCCAUGCAGGUAUGAAUGAUGUCAUGAGGUGCUAGCAGGAAGGCUUUGGGUUCUUUGACAAUGGAUCCUUCCUUGGGGACUACAGCUUGAUAGGACGGGAUGGGAUUCAUCUCUCCUGUAAGGACACUGGGAUAUUUGGGAGUAGGCUACCAAACUUGGGACCAAGGGACUUGGGGGGUGAAGGGAGAAGCAAAAUAGAACAAGCUGUCCCCUCUAGCUGGGAAACAGGGCAGGACAGGGAAUGCAAGUGCCCUUCAUCUGCACAUUGGGCUGAGAUGCAGAAGGCUGACCACCCUGAGCCAAACUGGGGAGGAAACUCCUGCACCCACCCAGGGAAACCUGUGUGUUUGAGUAAGCCCCUACACUGCCUCUACACCAAUGCAUACAGCCUGGGGAAUAAGCAGGAGAAACUGGAGAUGUGGGUGCGGAUGCGGGGCUACGACCUCGUUGCAGUCACAGAGACAUGGUGAGACAGCUGCCAUGACUGGAUCACAGCCAUGGAGGGUUAUGUAUUGUUCAGGAAAGACAGACUGACAAGGCAUGGAGGUGGAGUUGCUCUCUAUGUGAGGGAGCAAUUAAUGUGUAGUGAACUGUGCCUGGGUGGGGAUGAGGAGUGGGUAGAGUGCUUAUGGGUAAAAAUUAAUGGGCAGGGCAAGGCAGGGGAUAUUGUUGUAGGAGUUUGCUACAGGCCACCUGAUCAGGAGGAGGAAGUUGUUGAGGCUGCUGCACAGUCACAACCCAUGGUCCUCAUGGGGGACUUCAACCACCCUGAUACUUGCUGGGAUAGCCACACAGCCAAGCACACACAGUCCAGGAGGUUCCUACAGAUUGUUGACGACAACUUCCUGUCGCAGGUGAUCGAGGAACCAACAAGGAGGGGUGUGCUGCUGGACCUGGUACUGACAAAUAAAAGAGUGCAUGGUUGGGGAUGUGAAGGUUGGAGGCAACCUCGGCUACAGCAACCACAAGAUGGUAGUGUUCAAGAUCCCGUGUGGAAGAGGCAGAACACAAAGCAGGACCGUGACCGUGGAUUUCAGGCGAGCCGACUUUGGCCUCUUCAAGGAUCUGCUUGGAUGAAUUUCAUGGGAUAUAAUUCUAGAAGACAGAAGUGCCAAUGAGAGCUGGUCAAUCUUCAGGCAUCACUUCCUCCAAGCCCAGGAUCAGUGUGUCCCAAUACACAAGAAAGGAGGAAAGGAGGUAGGAGGCCUCCAUGGAUGCACAAGGAUCUGCUGGGACAACUCGGGCAGAAAGCAGCCAUCUAUGAGAGGUGGAAACAGGAGCUGGCUUCUUGGGAAGAGUAUAGGAACAUUGCCAGGGCAUGCAGGGGUACAACUAGGAAGGCUAGAGCCCUUCUAGAAUUAAAUUUAGCCAGGGAAGUUAAGGACAGUAAUAAGGCAUUUUUCAAGUACAUCAGCAGCAGAAGGAUGACGAGGGGGAAUGUGGGCCCGCUGCUAAACACUGAAGGACGACCCAGGAAACUACAAGCCGGUCAGCCUCACCUCCAUCCCUGGAAAGGUGAUGGAACAACUCAUCCUGAAUGUUAUCACUGAAGAUAUGAAGGAAAAGAUGGUUAUCAGGGGGAGUCAGCAUGACUUCACCAAGGGGAAAUCCUGUUUAACCAACCUGAUAGCCUUCUAUGAUUGCAUAACCAGCUGGCUAGAUGAAGGGAGAGCAGCGGAUGUCAUCUCCCUUGACUUCAGCAAGGCUUUUGACACUGUCUCCCAUAACAUCCUCAUCAGAAAGCUCAAGCAGUGUGACUUGGAUGAGUGGACAGAAACGAGUUGGAGACCUGUGGCCAGUGGAGUUCUUCCGGGAUUGGUUCCGAGGCCACUCUUGUUCAACAUUUUCAUUGACGACUUAGUUGAGAAGACAACGUACCCUCAGCAAGUUGGCUGAUGACACCAAACUGGGAGGACUGGCUGAUUCCCCAGAAGGCUGUGGUGCCAUUCAGUGGGAUCUUGACUGGCUUGACAGUUGGGCAGAGAGGAACCUCAUGAGGUUCAACAAGGACAAGUGUAGAGUCCUGCAUCUUGGAAGGAACAACCUCAUGCCCCAGUACAGGCUGGGAGUCAAACUGCUGGGGAGCAGCUCUCCAGAGAGAGAUCUGGGAGUCCUGAUUGAUAAUAAGCUAAACAUGAGCCAGGAAUGUGCCCUCAUGGCCAAGAAGGCCAAUGGCAUCCUGAGGUGCAUCAAGAAGAGUGUGGCCAGCAGGUCAAGGGAGGUUCUUCUCCCUCUGUACUCUGCCCUGGUGAGGCCUCAUCUGGAGGCCUCGUCUCAGCUCAAGAGAGAGGGAGAGCGUCCAGCACAGGGCCACCAAGAUGAUCAGGGGACUGGAACAUCUUUCAUACGAGGAAAGCCUGCGGGAACUGGGGCUGUUCAGUCUAGAGAAGAGGAGGUUGAGGGGAGAUCUUAUUAACAUUUACUAAUAUCUAAAGGGUGAGUGUCAGGAGGUUGGGCCAUCCCUUUUUUCUAUAGUAGCUAGCAACAGGACAAGGGGUAAUGGGAUGAUGCUGGAAUACAAGAAGUUCCACUUAAAUAUAAGAAAAAACUAUUUCACUGUAAGGGUGACGGAGCAGUGGAACAGGCUACCCAGAGGGGUUGUGGAAUCUCCUUCCUUGGAGGUCUUCCUGGACAUGUUCCUGUACGACCUGAUCUAGGUGAACCUGCUUCUGCAGGGGGGUUGGACUAGAUGAUCUCUAAUGGUCCCUUCCAACCCCUGUGAUUCUGUGAUUCUAUGAAUGCGUACAAGCAUCAAGACUCUUUAUAUUUCUCACCUUUGAGCCAGUGAGUGGGCUGAAUUGGGGGGCAAGGGGGAGGGAUAGGAGACAUCAUGCCCAGUAUAGAAACUGGGGUGUUUGACUGGGAGGAGGCAGAUCACUACAGGGGCAUCAGUGGUGUGCAAUUUCAUUGUCAUAAUUUGUCUUUUCCUUGGAUUUUGUUUCUCUUACUAUUAUUAUAUUUUAUUUUUCUUACUGUUAUUAUAUUUUAUUUUAAUUUAUUUAUUAUUCUUGUUCUCAUCUUAUCCAUGGGUCUUCAUUUUCUUUUCUCGUUCUCCUCAUCCUAUGGAGGCAUGGGGACUGGGAGCAGCUAAGUGGCUGCACAGUGCUUCAUUGCCAUCUUGGCUUGAACCAUGACACAGGGGAAAAGCAAAACACUUGUACAAUUAACAAAGAACAUCACUCUGAAAUGGUGAUGCUCAAAGCUCAUGAAAUAAGUGCCUUCCAUAUGGGUCUAUGUAGCUUUCAUUCAUUUAUGACAUUACAUUCGUGAUACAGGCCAAAUGUGCUAAACUGCAGGUAGACUUCCUCUGUUUUUCCUUAUUAUGCCUAUAGAAGUAGUUAGGGCUUGUGUUUUGAAAUGUUAAAUCAUCCCAUCAAAGAGCACUGACAGACCUAACAGUUGUGCAAAAUAGCUUUUCAUUUCUAAAACAGACACAUUUUUGUUCUCAGCAAUGAUUAUUUUAGUCUGCAAUUUUUUUUAUCCAAGUUGCAACUAGAGAGUCAGAAAUGCCAAUAUGGGUAUCGAAAAUAGUGCUAUUAGGAAGAACCAAGCUAUGUCAAGCCACCAAAUUUCUAUGGCAAAUAUAUUUUGAAAUUCACUUAAAUGCUGCAGUGACGUAAUUCAUUACCAAAAGAUGGGAUAGCAUCUGGCUGUCAGUUAAUAAGCACAUUACUAUGUGCUAUUUACUGUGCACAUGACUAUGCUUUUCUUUAGUUGCCCUAACAAUUUUUUUAGAAGUGGACAAUUACAGUGAUUUAGUGCGAUGUUCUAAGAAUUACCCUUAACAGAUAUUAAAAUAUUAAACAAUUACCUCUAUAUUUGUCUUGUUUUCUUUACUCCUUCACCUAUUUAAUAUUCUGUGUUUCUCAUUCUAUGCUAUUCUAUUGAGUUUGUUAGCAGGCAUAGCCCAAAAGUUGUAACAUAAACACAGUAACAACAGAAGGAAGGGGCUUUCAUCUGUUUGGCAUUAAUUGGACAGUGAAAUAAGCCAUGGAAGGCCAAGGACAAUUUGUCUGACAUUGCAUUUCAAGUCAUAUGACAACAUAACUGUAGUAAUAAGGGCUUUUCUAGUAUAGAUAAGCUUUUAAACACAGCAUAACCAUUUUCACCGGUGCAGUGUUGGAUAUUUCCACAACUGUAAGAAUAGCCUGGAAAGGUGAUUCUGGUUAUCUACAUUUAGACUGGCCUGCAUAGGAUGGCCGUUCAACAUAGUCUUUGAGCAAUGCUGAUCAACUGAAUGCUCAACUCAAAUGUUUUUGAAAACCUCAGUCUGUAUUUUCUGACAAGUACAAUGAUACUAUGGUUAUAUAUGGUCAUUUGGUCCUUGACUAUAUUUAAUUUAAUUAAUCCCUGUUAUUAGUAUGUAGGGUUUAUAUGACCAAGUAAUCCACUGAUCUAGACAGGUCAGACUUCCCAACAGCUAUUUGAAAUGCAUUACAUAUUCUGGACAGAAGCAGAUGUCAAGGCAUGUAAUAGAGGCACUUUUGUGGGAAAUACCACUUAAUUGUGGCUGCUGCUGAAUUAGUCACACUUCCUUACUGCUAGUAAACAAGACACCAUAGUGGAACUUCAGGUCUUCUAUCUCACAACAACAGGUUUUACAACAUGAAUUUACAGAAAGAACUGCAAUAAUGAAAUAAUCCAAAUCCUGCUCUUUAGUCAAAUGUGCGAUACCCAUUCCAACCAACAUGGUACAAAACUGGAUUUUUCUGAAAGCACAGCAUGGCUCAAAACACAAAAUGUUUAAUUUUGGAUUAGUAAAAAAAAAUUCUGUGUUGGUAACUGCAUAGAAUAGCUAUCAAGUAAUUAGUUGAAGGCUUAUAAGUACAGAUAGAUUUUUUUAUGAACACAUAGGAAUGUCUAGACAAGGUCUCUUCACCUUUAAUGUUGGUGUGCCAGUUAAAAAUUGAUUCUAGAAUGCAAAAUUUAAAAAAAUCCAAAAAACCUCACUACAGAAGCAUUUUAAGCAUAAAUUAAUAAUACAUUUCACAUGGUUAAAUAGAUUUUGCCUGGUUUUCACUAGGAGCUUUACAAAAACUUUCCAGUUUUGAGUCUUUUCUGCCUCAAAAACUUCAGCUGGCAAAACCAAGCUUAUGAAAUUCAUCAGCAUUAAUUUCCUAGCUGUUUGUCUAUUUGGUAUCUUACCAAUAGGAUCAACUACAUCAAAUGUUAAAAGUUUUGCUUACAUUAUGAGUAAUUGACUGGUAACUGACUGUUCCAUUUCGUGUAUCUUAACUAAGCUUAGAUAGCGUGUCUAUUUUAGCAGUGACAGGUUAAACAGCAUGCAGAAGGAAAGACGCAAUAGGUAUUGAGCAAGGAUAUAAUGUGAGUGAAUAGACAUCUCCCACUGACUUGUCCUUUCUGGAAAAGUUUCUUGUUAUUUCUAUUUUCUUUGUGUUUACAGAAGAAAAGUACAGCUUUGCUAAUUAAAGGGUUGCAAAGCUUAGAUUGGAAUUUGCAAUCCACAGCCCCAUAGACUGUGUUCAGCCUACCAGAACAAUUAAUUAAACAUGUUUUUCUGGAAGCCUCAGUUUUUUCCCCAUCAUGCUUACACAACUUAAAACUACACCAUGCAAUCUGUUUCUUGAGUUUUAUGUUGAUAUUGCUAUCAACAUUGUCAUUAUUACCUUCAAGGCUAAUCUGCAAUUAUUGAACUAUCCAAUGCUGAACAAGCUUAGUAUACAGUAUAUAUCCAUUCCACCUUAACAACUUAUCAUAUUAUCUACUGUUUUAAUUAGUACUAGGUCACAAACCCUCCUUCUGGUUCAAAACCAAACUAACUGUAGAAUCCAACUUGACUGAUCUGAUUCCAAGUGGCAAAAUUUCUCAUUAACUGAGCAUCAUAAGGACAAAGUUCCUUUCUGGUUGUAGUUGUGUUUGCUAUGAUUUUAGUAUAACUAUGCUAUUGCCAUCACAGUCAUGUAAUUUUCUUUUACAGGCAGAUGGAUGGCAAAAAUACGAGGGACAUUAAAAAAGACUUAGCACCUCUGAAGUUACAAUCAAUAUACAAACUAUGAUAUAUUGCUGCUUUAAUGUGGCAUGCCAAAAGCCAUUUUCUUGGCAAUUCCUCUAAGAAACAGGACUUGAAAAGUGGGAACAGCACUUGAAGAGUUCUACUUGCUAGAAAUCUUGUGUGGUUCAUGUUUGAGAGGUUCACAAAUUAAAUCAGUCUUUGGGGUAAAAAAGGAAAAAAAAAAAGACAAAAAUAGAAGACACUAAAACCCCAGAGUCAGGAAACAACUGAAAGGAACAUGCCAUACUGCAGACCAUAUGCAGAUUAAGUAUGCAUAUUGCAACCUUUAUCUCAUCCAAGAUCACAAAGACAGGAAAGCAUAGGUAGAAAGAAACCUGCCCAAAAACUUGGAGCUAAUUAAUAUGAUUUUAAAGAUCUCUUCCUUUAUAUCUUAUAGUGUCACAAUACAAACCCAUGUAAAAAAACCUGAAUUGUGCAACAUUUUCAAAUGUUGGUGCUAAUUUCAAAAUACUUUUUAUUACUUACUGUACCUGGCACAGUAACUCACUCGCAAAUUGAUGCAUUUUCAGAAAUGGGAAACUUUGCUAUCCCAUCAUGAUAAAAGUUGUUUCUGCAAACCUUUUGGUCUCAAAGUUAGCAUAAAGAUCUUCUCUUCUGAGAAGGCCUAGCAUUUUAUGAGAGAAUUUGCAGUUUUGUUUGCACUUUGACUAGCAUCUUUUGAGAGUUAUUAAACUGUAAAUAUUAACCUAAAUUUAUAUAGUUUUCCUAGCUGCAAGUUCUGUCUUUGCAUUUACAGCAAUCAAAAAUACUUGCAGAGAUGUUGGCUUAAUUCUCCAUCAACAUUUCAAGGAAGACAGCAAAGGCAAGCAAGCAAAGGAAAAUAAAUAGUACAGUUGCUUAAAAAUCCUAACAAAAAUAUGUAAGAAGCCUUUAUAUACAAUUUACAAUUUCAGCAAAGUUUUCAUUCAACAUUAUCCUAUAAAAGAAUGUAAACCUGCAACAGUACAAAGUACUGAGUGGAUAGCAUCAAUUAAUCAAAUCUAUAGAUCUACUUACAUUUCACUCACCUUUAUUUAUUCAAGCACAUCAGUAAUUUUCACUGGUUUUCCAUCAAUACCAAAACCAUUUUUAUAAUGACAUUGUUCUCUUCAUGUCACACUUGUGAUCAGGGCUAAACAUAUUGCUAGACACUUAAGAGUUCUGAUUAGCAUUAAAUCUCCUCAUUUCAAGUUCCCAUUUACACAAUACUCCUUCCACUUACAGACUCCUGCUGUUAGCACGGGAGUCUCAGCAUUGGCUCAGUAAAUGCCAUUUUCAAACAGAUUAAAAAAAACCCAACUCAGUGAUUUUUUUUUUUUUUUUCAGUUCAUGUUUGAAUUGUUAUCAGCACACUGUUAAAGAAGUUUAUAUAUAUAUAUAUAUAGAAAGCAGUAGUCUUGUAUUUUAUGAUUGAAUACUUCUCCUGGUAUGUUGACUUAAGACAUCUUGCUGCAACAAGAGCAAGGUAUUUGAUUCAAGGGGUGGUAGUAGGGGGAACUGGACAAGGGGAACACUGCAUUCUUGUAGACCAGUAGAUAAGAGAGUUACUAUCUAUGGAGACUGAAAAAAGUAGAAUUACUUCUAGCUUGUCACAUCUGUAUUUCAAACCAUGCUUAAGAAACACGGGUUUGGGUUUGCAUUGUUUUAAUCACUGCUGUUUUCCAAAGCCUGAAAAAAUCAAUAAAUCACAAAAUGAUAGGGGUUAGAAGGGACGUCUGGAGAUCAUCUAGUCCACCCCCACUGCUCAAGCAGGUCCACCUAGAUCAGGUCACAGAGGAAUAUAUGCAGAUGAGUUUUAAAGACCUCCAGAGGAGACUCCAUGCCCUCCCUGGGCAGCCUGUGCCAGGGCUCCCUCACCCAAAAAUGCAUUUUACUAACUCAUGCUGUGCUAAAACCAGCCUCUUUCUGGCCAUAGCUCUUCCGAGAGGAGAUAAUUUGAAACACAAACCAGUGCAGCUUGCCAGCACUACUGGCCAACAACAAAACAGUUACAAGGUAAGAUAGGAAGAGAAAGUAAGAUCAGCUUGCAUUACGGAUGACUUUGGCUAAAAAGGAUUUUAAUAUCAUAUGCUUCUGAAGUAAGUUAUUUUGUACAUAAAAUACGCAUUAAUCAAAUACAUAUUCACAAAGGUUGCAAACAAGAUGACUUUUUUCCCCCCAAACAGCACUGAAUGUUCUGGUGACUUUGUUUUUUAGACUUAAAAUAAAGCCUAUAAGCACACAUGUGUUUGUGGAUUGUAAAUUAGAACAGGUCACCCAGUCCUCUUCACAAACUUUCAAAAGAAAGAGUUGAUACAUCCUUUCUCCCCAGAGAGAUAACAAUCUUUAGUUAAAAAACACCAAAACCGCCACAACUCUCAGCCAAUGUUUUAUCAUGCUGUUUUAACACAGCUCUAUUGAUUUAUUAAUAUUAUGUUGACUUUAAACUGAAAGGUUUUUAGAUCAGGAGCCAAUAUAAAAGAUUCAAUGGUUGUACAGACCUAUGUGUUUUGUGAAUCUGUGAAAAGGCAUUCAAAUCACUGAGCAUUAAAAUACAAAACACGCAAAUAA